AGAGUUUGAUCAUGGCUCAGAGCGAACGUUAGCGGCGCCUUAACACAUGCAAGUCGCACGAGAAAGGGCUUCGGCCCCGGUAAAGUGGCGCACGGGUGCGUAACACGUAGGCAAUCUUCCCUUGAGCGGGGGAUAACGUUUCGAAAGAGACGCUAAUACCGCAUAAGACCACGGCUACUUCGGUAGCUGCGGUCAAAGCUGGCCUCUUCAUGAAAGCUAGCACUUAAGGACGAGCCUGCGGCCCAUCAUGCUAGUUGGUAGGGUAACGGCCUACCAAGGCGAAGACGGGUAGCUGGUCUGAGAGGAUGAUCAGCCACACUGGAACUGAAACACGGUCCAGACUCCUACGGGAGGCAGCAGUGGGGAAUAUUGGACAAUGGGCGAAAGCCUGAUCCAGCGACGCCGCGUGAGUGAUGAAGGCCUUCGGGUUGUAAAGCUCUGUUGAGGGAGAAGAAAACAGCUGAGGCGAAUAGGCUCGGUUCUUGACGGUAUCCCUUUAGAAAGCACCGGCUAACUCUGUGCCAGCAGCCGCGGUAAGACAGAGGGUGCAAACGUUGCUCGGAAUUACUGGGCGUAAAGCGCGUGUAGGCGGACCUGCAAGUUGGACGUGAAGGCCCUGGGCUCAACCCGGGAAUUGCAUCCAAAACUGCAGGUCUGGAGUGAUGGAGAGGAAAGCAGAAUUCCUGGUGUAGAGGUGAAAUUCGUAGAUAUCAGGAGGAACACCGGUGGCGAAGGCGGCUUUCUGGACAUCAACUGACGCUGAGACGCGAAAGCGUGGGGAGCAAACAGGAUUAGAUACCCUAGUAGUCC
rnacentral:rRNA from 1 species